rnacentral:ncRNA from 1 species
AUACUAAUAUAUUUGGUCGUAUAACCCUAAUAAUAAGGCUUAGGGGUCUCUACCAGGAGCCGUAAAUUCCUGAUUACGAAGAAAGUUAUGU